GUGCUCGCUUCAGCAGCACAUGUGCUAAAACUGGAAAGAUACAGAGAAGAUUAGCACGGCCCCUGCACAAGGAUGACAUGCAAAUUCGUGAAGCAUUCCAUAUUUUU
rnacentral:snRNA from 1 species